GCGGGUAUGGUGGAAUGGUAGACGCGGGGCACUCAAAAUGCCUUGGAGAGAUCCGUGGGGGUUCAAGUCCCUCUACCCGCACAA
rnacentral:tRNA from 1 species